GAGACAGAGAGAGAGAGAGACAGAGAGAGAGAGGUAUGGAUGUGGUAUACAACAAGGAGAGAGAGAGAGGUAUGGAUGUGGUAUACAACAAGGAGAGAGAGAGAGAGAGAGAGAGAGAGGGGUAUGGAUGUGGUAUACAACAAGGAGAGAGAGAGAGAGAGAGAGAGAGAGGUAUGGAUGCAGUAUACAACAAGGAGAGAGAGAGCGAGAGAGAGAGAGAGGAUGGAUGCAGUAUACAACAAGGAGAGAGAGAGAGAGAGAGAGAGGUAUGGAUGUGGUAUACAACAGGGAGAGAGAGAGAGAGAGAGGUAUGGAUGCAGUGUACAACAAGGAGAGAGAGAGAGGGGGGGGUAUUGAUGCAGGGGUACAUCACAAGACAGAAACACUGUCGGGUGUGUGUGUGUGUGUGUGUUGGGGGAUACAUGCAAAUCAUCCAUAUAGAAGUGCAGAGAUGCAUUUGACUCGAGGGGAUGGUUCCUGUAUCUGUGUUGCAAGAAAUAUUUAACAGCAAACAGCACUGUUCUCAUUCCAGAGUCAUUGGGAGAAUGUGUCUCUGCUGCCACACACACACACACACACACACACACAGACACACACACACAGACACACACACACACACACACACACACGAAGGUGGCCUAGGAACAGUUUAAGAGUGGUUUAUGACUUCCUGUCUCUGUCACCGCAACUGCCCACCCUCCUUCUCUCUAGUCUGAACACAUACCUGUUUAGUUUCAUCUACUGUUUCGUUUCCAUUUAGUUUCCAUCUGCUGUUUAGUUUCCGGUUAGUUUCCAUUUAGUGUGACCUACAGGCUGCUGUGUUCUUGGGGACCUUCAAUGCUGCAGACAUCUUUUGGUGUCCUUCCCCAGAUCUGUGCAUCGACACAAUCCUGUCUCUGAGCUCUACAGACAAUUCCUUUGACCUCAUGGCUUGGUUUUUGCUCUGUCAACUGUGGGACCUUUUAUAGACAGGUGUGUGUGCCUUUCCAAAUCAUGUCCAAUCAAUUGAAUUUUCCACAGGUGGACUCCAAUCAAGUUGUAGAAACAUCUCAAGGAUGAUCAAUGGAAACAGGAUGCACCUGAGCUCAAUUUCAAGUCUCAUAUUAAAGGGUCUGAAUACGUAUGAAAAUAAGAAUUUUAUUUUUACAUAAAAAAAAUAUAUUUAUAUUUUUCCACAUUUUAUUACGUUACAGCCUUUUUCUAAAAUGUAUUAAAUGAUGUUUUCCCUCAUCAAUCUGCACACAGUACCCCAUAAUGACAUAGCGAAAAUGUUUGCUAAUAUUAAAAAUAUAACAUUUGCAUUAGUAUUCAGACUCAGUACUUUAUUGAAGCACCUUUGGAAGUGAUUACAGCCUAGAGUAUUCUUGGGUAUGAAGCUACAAGCUUGGCACACCUGUAUUUUGGGAGUUAACUCCAUUCUGCUCUGCAGAUCCUCCCAAGCUCUGUCAGGUUGGAUGGGGAGC
ensembl:lncRNA